rnacentral:lncRNA from 1 species
UCUGUGGUCUGUUUGUUAUGAUUUCCAUUCUUUUGCAUUUGCUGAGGAGUGUUUUUUAAUUCCAAUUAUGUGGUCAAUAGCUAGGAGCUGAACCCAAGAAGACUGUAUCUGGAGUAUCUUACACCAUACUGCUGGUCCUAGAGUUGGAAGACCUAGGCUCCUGCCUUACUCCUUCACUGACUUGCAGAACAAGGUAAGAGAGAUGUUACCAGGCUUCACCCACUGAAUGGUAUUUUUGUGAGGAGUGUCUAGCAUCUUAUCUGAGGGUCUCAAUUGAUCUUCUUUUCUUGAUACAUUCCAUUUUUCUUGGUUCUUUUUUGUUGGGAAAUUUUGGAUUUACCCUGGACUUUAUGAACAUCAAGCUGUGCAGAUUAUUGAUUUUAUUGCUUCUCUAACAAGUGGUUUUCUUUGGCUUAUGCAAC